GAGACGGAGACCUGCGGAGGGCGAGGGCUGGUUGGAGGUCGCUGUCCUUUCUGGGAACCAAGCAGGGGUCGCAGGAGGGCGGGGAUGGGUCAGCGGGGAUCUCUGAGUGGGGUUCGGCUGAGAGAGGCCACAGUUUCAUCUUUGGGAAGCUACCCUGGGCCGGCCACGCGCCGUGAGCCGGACUGGCGACGCCCCCCUGCCUCCACCGUGCUCCUUCACCCGAGAAAUUCAGCUCAGCCCCAGCCUCUCGGCAACCUCCCUUUGGCUCCGCCUUUUAAAGGACCUUUACGGCACCACAAAACUGCGCCCCUGCCUGAUUUCAUUUCAGCAAGCUUUACUGUGAAGUGUUUAUGUGCCAGGUACCAUGUGUAGAAGCGCUGGCCCAGAGAUGAAGAUGAAGUUUCUAUCCUUAAGGCAUGCAAUGUGGGAGAUGAACAGAGACAGGCAAGAGAGCCACAGAAGAGAAAGUGAUGUGAAGACAGAAGCAGGGAUUGGAGUGAUCCAUCUACAAGCCAAGAAAUACCAAUGGUUGCUGCCAGCCACCAGGAUCUAGGAGAGUGGCAUGGAACAGAUUUUCCCUUAGAGCUUCCAGAAAGAACUAACCCUGUCAACACUGUGAUUCUGGACAGUGAGAGAGAAAUUUCUAUUGUUUUAAGCCAUCAAGUUUGUGGUAAUUUGUUAUGGCAACCGUAGGAAACAUCACCCAGUAAAUCCAAAUUAAAUAUUAUCCCAAUUUUUGCUUGAUACCAGAAAUGGCUGUAGUGUUUCAACACCCUCUAGCAUAAGAGAAUUGUAACAGGGGAAGCUGGUGUGGAAACAGACAGCAGUCUGAACCAGUUUGGACAAAAAUACUGGUCUUGCAAAUUUUAGAAAAAGCACACAACCUCUGAACACAUGACUAGGGCCCCUUCCAGGAACUUAGAAGGGGCCCGGCCGAGGGAGAGUCCCUGAAGCUUAUGUUUAAUACAUUUUACAGAAGAGCUGCCUCGGUGUAGGAAGCAGUGUAGUGUUGCGAAGACAAGCUCUGGAGCCAGACACCCUGGGUUCAAAUCCCAAUUUCGCAACUGUCUAGCUGUUGACUUGAGAGAAGUUACUUAGCCUUUCUGCGCCCCAAUUUCUUCCUUCGUAAAAUAUAAAUGGCAGUAGCACUAUCUGCCUCAUAGGGUUGUUUACCUGGUGAAGUAACAUGAUACACAUAAGGCAC
rnacentral:lncRNA from 1 species